UACGUAGGGGGCUAGCGUUGUCCGGAAUUAUUUGGGCGUAAAGGGCUCGUAGGCGGUUUUUGUCACGUCAGGAGUGAAAAACUCAGGGGCUCAACCCCUGAGCGUGCUUCCCGAUACGGGGCAGACUAGAGGUAUCAGGGGGAGAACGGAAAUUUCCUGGUGUAGCGGGUGGAAUGCGCAGAUAUCAGGAGGAACACCGGUGGCGAAGGCGGGUCUCUGGGGCCGAUACUGACGUGGAGGAGCGAAAAGCGUGGGGGAGCAAAA
rnacentral:rRNA from 1 species